GGCUGGUUACCUGAAAUGCAUUGAAAUGAGAAGAAUUUAACGGAUCACUGUUUUAAAUGGGUGACCCGUUAUCUUUAAACAGUGACCUCCAAGUUCUAGAUUCGCCCACAAGAGGAAACAUCCUCCCCACAUCCAACCUGUCGAGAUGCCUCACGAUCUGGUGCGUCUCAUUCUAGACUGCCCCCAACCCGAAUCUUUUCGAACAGGACAAGCUGCCCAUUUUAUGCUGCAGUCUAGUGAACAUUCUCCGAACCCCUUCCAACGCCUUAACGUCCUUCCUUAAAUAAUGACGGCUAUACUGUGAACAACACUCCAGAUGUGGUCUGACUGAUGUUGUCUUUUCUGUUUUCAAUUCCCUUCACUGUUUCAAUAUGUGAAGUAUCGCAGGAAAGUAGAACAAUGCAAGAUUUCACCAACAGGAACAAGAGAGUGGAGCUGCAGUGGUUGUAUAACUGGAAUAAGGCCGACUGCGUAACCUGGUGAAAAACAUGAUGAUGCUGGAGGAACUCAGCAGGCCAGGCAGCAUCCGUGGAGGAAAGCAGGCGGUCAACGUUUCAGGCAGAAGAUACAGGAGUCUGAGGGCAAGUACCACCGGGCUCAAGGAAAGUUUCUAUCCCACAGUGAUAAGACUAUUGAACGCUUCCCUUAUACAAUGAGAUGGACUUGUUUGACCUUGCACCUUAUUGUCUAUCUGCAAUGUUAUUCCCUGUAGCUGUGACACUUUACUCUGUAUUCUGUUAUUGUUUUUACCCUGUACUACCCCAUGCACUCUGUACUACCUUGAUGUACUGUGUAAUGAAUUGAUCUGUACGAUCGGUAUGCAAGACAAGUUUUUCACUGUACCUCGGUA